UACGGACGGUGCGAACGUUGUUCGGAAUCACUGGGCUUAAAGGGCGCGUAGGCGGUCUGCCAAGUCCGGGGUGAAAGCCCCCAGCUCAACUGGGGAAGUGCCUUGGAUACUGGCGGACUCGAGGGAGGCAGGGGUUGUGGGAACUUCCGGUGGAGCGGUGAAAUGCGUUGAUAUCGGAAGGAACGCCGGUGGCGAAAGCGCACAACUGGUCCUCUUCUGACGCUGAGGCGCGAAAGCCAGGGGAGCAAACGGG
rnacentral:rRNA from 1 species